AGAGUUUGAUCCUGGCUCAGAUUGAACGCUGGCGGAAUGCUUUACACAUGCAAGUCGAACGGCAGCAUAGGUGCUUGCACCUGAUGGCGAGUGGCGAACGGGUGAGUAAUACAUCGGAACGUGCCCAGUCGUGGGGGAUAACGUAGCGAAAGUUACGCUAAUACCGCAUACGAUCUACGGAUGAAAGCGGGGGACCGUAAGGCCUCGCGCGAUUGGAGCGGCCGAUGUUAGAUUAGGUAGUUGGUGGGGUAAAGGCUCACCAAGCCGACGAUCUAUAGCUGGUCUGAGAGGAUGAUCAGCCACACUGGGACUGAGACACGGCCCAGACUCCUACGGGAGGCAGCAGUGGGGAAUUUUGGACAAUGGGCGCAAGCCUGAUCCAGCCAUUCCGCGUGCAGGACGAAGGCCUUCGGGUUGUAAACUGCUUUUGUACAGAACGAAAAGCUCUGGGUUAAUACCUCGGGGUCAUGACGGUACUGUAAGAAUAAGCACCGGCUAACUACGUGACGGCAGCCGCGGUAAU
rnacentral:rRNA from 1 species